AAGCAGAGGAAAAGUAACUAACAAGGAUUGACUUAGUAAGGGCGACUGAAGUGUCAAAAGGCUCACCAUGUGAAUCUGCAUAACUGAAUGCUGAAUUGUGGUCUGAAGAGUCUUGCAAUCUAAGGCUGAGCCAAGUCAUUUGGAAUGGGGCAGUUCAAAGGGUGAAACUCCUGAAUGCCUGGCCUUUGAAGCAAGUUUCACAGAGUCGAGUUGUUUGGGAUUGCAGCUCUAAGAGGGUGGUAAAUUCCACCAAAAGCAAAAUACUGGUGAAAGUCCAAUAGUGAACAAGUACCGUGAGGGAAAGAUGCAAAGAACUUUGAAAAGAGAGUUAAAGAGUACCUGAAAUUGCUGAAAAGGAAGCAGAGGGAAUCAGUGCUGGUUCUGUCAUACUAUCCCAAUUGCUUGUGAUUGGGGCGCUGUGGCAAACUUAGUCUCCAUUGAUUGACUCAGAUGAAGGCACAAUAAAGGUUGAAUGCCUUUCUUGCUUGUAUCUUAUUUGAUUGAUGAUGACAAAAUGAUUUUCUUUUUCCCGUCUAGAAACACGGACCAAGGAGUCUAACACAUGUGCAAGUACUGGAGUAUGCAACUCCUGUGCACAAUGAAAGUGACAGUGGCUGAAAUGUUUGCACAGUCAGCCGGCCUCAAUCCUUUGGGAGAAUGGUCUGAGUGUGAGCACACAUGUUGGGACCCGAAAGAUGGUGAACUAUGCUUGAGUAGGGUGAAGCCAGGGGAAACUCUGGUGGAGGCUUGUAACGAUUCUGACGUGCAAAUCGAUCGUCAAACUUUAGUAUAGGGGCGAAAGACUAAUCGAACCAUCUAGUAGCUGGUUUCCUCCGAAAUUUCCCUUAGGAUAGCUGCAAUCAAUCACCAAUUUUGUC
rnacentral:rRNA from 1 species